rnacentral:lncRNA from 1 species
GGGCGGGCCUGGGUCCAGUCCACAGGGCCCCUCGUGGGCCCUGAUGAAGGAAAGAGUUGAGAUGGGGGCAGCGCUGGACCCCAGGGCCCCUGCCUGCCUCCUGGAGAGCCCGGUGACCCAGGCAGCCCUGGUGAGGCUGUGGGUGCCUGGGCCAUAGCGAGGCCCGCGAGCUCCCACAGGACAGAUGCGGACAGUGAGGCCGGGGAGGCCCUGCUGCCCUCCGAACUGUCCCUCCAGCCCCCAGCUUUCUGUGGUUCUCUGGGCCCCCUCUGCAGAGGGGCAGGGGAGCCCACCCUGGAUCCUGAGACGCCAAGCUUGAGGGACCCCCAGAGCUCUAGCGAGGCUGCUUCCUUUGCGGAUGGUGAAGCUGAGGUCCAGAGGAGGGCAGGGGCAGGUCCUGGGCGCUCCCUAGGCAAAGGGAGCCGAUCUCCGGGAGGCGGUCACAGGGAGCGCUCCUGCGACUUCUAGGGCCCGAAAGCUGGGGAGGAUGAGAGACCAGGGGCCUUUCGUCGUCCCCUGGGCUGGGCAGAGGCUCAGCCUGUGCCGCAACCCUAAGCGGCUUCUGGCAAGUCCGAGCCGCGGUCCCUUUAAGAGGGGGUGGAGCUUCAACCUGGCACUAGGGAUGCUGCUAGCGUGCGUGUCCCUACGGAGCUGAGACUGCAGUUCCUGCGACGCCCCUGCAGCAGCAGCAGCGUGGUCAGAGCGAGCUUCUGAGCGGUGGUGGGUUCCAUGUGAUGGUGGAGUAGGAGACAGGUCUCCGCGGUCAGUGGCGGGGGCGUGGACCCCACCGGGAACCCUCCCUGCUCCUUCCCUGCCUCUCCCUGUUUUCGUGCCCGCACUUCUUCGUGGGCAUCUGGGCCCGAGUCCUCCGCUUGGGGGCGGUUGUGCGGUCCUGGCUACUGCAGCGUCCGCACCCCGGCCGGGAAGGCUAUGCCAAUGUCCGACCCGCGUCCAGCGUAUAGGAGCGCCCUGGCCCACAGCUGGCGGUAAAACGCGGGACCUGGGUCCCUCGGAGCCCCAGGGGCCUCUGAGCUGGAGUCUAGGAUUAUUUUUGAUGCCUCAGCACCUUUAAAAAGAGACCUCGCUAGAGCAGGGGGCAUCUGUAUUUUCAGUUCUUUGAGGAGUCUCCAGCUAUUUAGCUGUUUUCCAUGGUUCAUCUGCGUUGCUCUAAAUGGGACUGUUUCAUUAUUUUGAUGGCUGAAGAAUAUUUCCUAGUGUAUGUAUAUGAGAGUUUCUUGAUCUCUUUAUCUGUGGAUGAACAGCUACUUUGAAAUAUAUGAUACAUUUGUGUUAAGGCUAGUCACGCUGCUGUGGAAUAGAAGGCCAGAAUUGAUCACUAUCAUCUGAGAGUAACUUUGUACCCAUCACUGAUUCCUUCCGAGACUGCCUCCACUUCCCCAG